UCUUUGGUUCUUUUGGAUCCUAAGAAGGCUUCAAGUUGACUCCUCAGUUGGUCUACAGCUGCAUUCUUCUCUUCAAGUUGAUAUUUAGCUUCUGAAAGUUUUCAUCUGGACUCUCUCCUCACGCAACACAUCAGCGAACUGCAUCAUCUCCCUUUCCUUCUCAACCUCUGCACAAAGUUUUGCCGAUUCUCUCUUCAGUUCUUCAACUUCUGCUUUAUCUUCACCUAUAUCCCUGGCUAAUUCAUCACAUACUUGCUCCAUUAUAACUCUUGCUCUCUUCUCAUUCUCAAGCUCUUUCACUAGCUUCAACAGAGAAGACUUCGUCUCAGCUAGUUCUUUCCCAAGCUUCUUGUUCAAGCUUUCAAGCCGUCUCCUCAGUUUUUUCUCUACUUCAAGUUCUCCAGCAAGGGACUCAAUAGCAGCUUCAACCACUUUCUGCUCCUUGUUUUUCCAUGCUGCCUUUUCUUCAGCAAAGCACUUCAUUAAAUAG
rnacentral:misc_RNA from 1 species